AAUGAUGUGCCUGAUAAAAGGGCUAUUUUGAUAGAAUAGACAAUGUAAAAUUUACCUUCAUUA
rnacentral:tRNA from 1 species